rnacentral:misc_RNA from 1 species
ACUAUAUAAUAAGUAUAAAUACAUCAAACAAAGAAAUUCAAUCCAUCAAUCUUAGCCAAAAUGAGCAUGAUCAAUUUAAAACUAAAAUAACUAGGAUCCUGAAUGGACAUAUGGAGUGUGGCUCAUUGUAACAGGAUCCUGAAUGGGUCGGGAGAAUAUGGAUGUAGAAGUGUAAGUUAAUUGCUAUCUUCAUUUCAAAUAAAUUUGAUGAUCUUAACUUAAAAAAUAAAAAAUAAGAUGUGUAAAGAUGGAAAAUUUGAGAGAAACUAAUGGAGAACUAUAGAAAUCGAAACGCAGUAAGCUUUAAAAUGAGCACACUGAGUGGACCAGAAAAUAAUAUUUUCUGUGGGCAAGCAAUAAGCAAAAUGGUGUUGAGCUUUUGAUUGCUGAAGCUGAACUUACUCUUUUGCAUGAUCCUCUAAUGGCUGUUGUUUUUGAUUCAGAACCCUUUUACAAUUCUUAGGUCACCAAACCUACUAUGAUGGGCAUGACAACAUGGUAACCAGAGAGCUCAGUUGUCCAGUGAGGACUACUGAAGGUGAUCUCCAUCAUGUCUUGGGAUCUGGCAAUCUUUUCCGGAUUCGGAUAUGGCACUUACCUUAAUGAUUACUAAAUAGUAAGAGGUGUCAUCUCUGCUUCGAGUACUGAAGUUGAAAUGGAGCUUCACCUUGAAAGGUAAUGAGUGGAGAAGCAUCGAACAUCUCCAUUUCUCCUUCGCCUUCUCAGGCUCAGCUACUUGUAUAAGACCCAACCCUGUUUGGUUAGUUAAAAACUAAUUCAAGAAUGGGAAUGAAUGGAUACGAAUGGAUGGAACUUCCUUUGUGGGUGAUUGAAAAUUUAAAUUUUUCUUUUUUAUUCUAACAAACUAGAGAAUCUGAUUCCAAUCAGCAAGGAAAAUGAUCCAAACAAAAGGUUUCUGAUAGUUUCAUUUGAUUCGGCAGAUGAGAAAUUCCUGGAGAUGGUAACAGCGCCAGAUUAUAUUCCUCAAAGCUGGGGCACGGAUUUUAAUGUUCUAGGAGACUGCCUGUGUGUGUCUGGUUGCACGUAUGCACUAUAUUAUGAGGCUUGGAUAACGAAUAUUGAACAAUUUAGACUACCCAACGACAGGGAUUGCAAUGAACGAAUUAUAUACAUAGAGAGCCUUGUUUCCCCAAAUACUGAUGAAGGUUCAAGAGGUGCGGCUAAGGCCUGUUGGGCAGGGCAAGUAAGAGUAGAAAGAAGCAACUGAGACAAUUACACAUUAGUAGCCUCCAUUUGCAGGUAUACCCUCCCUGUUUUUUGUUGUUUCUUGCUAUUUUUUCUGUUUCCAUUGCAAGUAAAUGAAUUUCAUUGCUUUUUUUU